UCUUAUUGUAUACAAUGACAAAAGAAAAUUAUAUAACUUGCAGAUUGUGCAAUGAGAGUCCUUAAUGACCAAGAGAGGGAAAGAGAAAGAGUCACCAUCAUCAAAGACUGUUCUUAGUUAGCUAUUACAGUCGGGUACAUGUAUUUUGGUCCCAAAAACAAGAGGUGAACAGUUGCAUAGAUUGCUUUAUGAGCUCUCUUACUGAAAUUCGAAACACAAUUGUCCCCUUCCUUUCCCGUUCUUCAUACAUUGCCUCUUCUAGCUCCUUGCUUUCAACUUGUAAGCUCUCUUUAUGAAAUUCUAAACACCACUUUUCCCUCUCUUUUCCCUCGCAUUAUACAUUGCCUCUUCCAGCUACCUGCUUUCUGCCUGUAAGCUGUCUAUCUCUUGCCUCUUCCAGCUACCUGCUUUCUGCCUGUAAGCUGUCUAUCUCUGCCUCUUGCCUCUUGCCUCUUGCCUUUGUUUCGGUAACUGGUUUCUUAGCUGGUAAUUGGAGGUCAAAUUCUUCGCCAAGUUCUCCUUGGUUGCCAACAAUUGGGCCUUCCAGCUUUCCUCAAACACUAUCUCGGUAUCAUACAGAAUUCCAUUGCUGCCUUUUAGAUCCUUGAAGGUUGACUGUAGCUAAGAAAAAGGACUGUACUAAUGUGAACUUGGGAUUGUAGCAUCUCUCUCUCUCCCUCUCUCUCUCUUUCUCCUGAGAAGUUCAGUAAUCCAAUCCUUCUUGCUCUCUCAUAAAAAUAACUAGAAUGUUUUUAGUGCAAUGGAAAACGCCAGAUAAAUUCAUACCUCACGGAUGGCAUUUCUCGUUUCAGUGCGUUCGGAGCGACCUGUGGAUGCAAGCCUCUCCACCUCUUAUCUGAACCUUUUCAUUUCCAGUUCUUUGGCCUUAUAAUAACUGAUCAAUCUCACCCUUUAAGGACCUUGCUCUCACAUAUUUCACCAAAAGAUUUAAAACUUCGUUUUAGAGAAAUUUCUUACAGAAAACCAUGACUCAAUUUACUCUUGAAACUUCUUCUAUGUCGAAACCUUGGUGAAAACUUUGAUUUAAUAUGGUAUUUGAGUUUUAGUUUUUCUUCUAGUUGUAUGGACAUGAAAUUUUGAACUUGUUUGUAUCCAACUCGGUCGCAUCUAAAAAAUUAUAAAGUAUAAUUUGUAAAAAACAAUUUGGCCAAAACAGCACCAAGAAAUAUUGACGAGGAGAUUUGGUCAAUUUAUUUUUUAAAAUUUAUUUUAUUAUAUAUUUUCUUAAGUGCCUCCAUAGUUAUUGACUUUGCGUAGCCUCAAUAAAUCUUUUAUAUUAUUUUAACUCAACUUUUUUAAUGAGUAGAAAGAGAAAAAGAUAGUUAAAAAGUUUUUAAGAUGAAAUGGUAUAAAAAGAUUUGUUGAAGCUAAUUUUUAUGGUUGAAAGUUAAUAAAAGAGACAGAUAAGAGAUGAUGGAAUAUGGUGAAAUAUUUAAGGGUUUUUUAUCAUGUUUGAAACGGAAGGAGGGUCUACCAUGAAAUAAUAUGAGGAAUUAGAUAUCUAUACGAAAUUUUUUCUAUUUACAAUGAAAGGCUAUUUAACAAAAUACGUAUGAGAGAUUCAUUAUUAACAUUUCACACAUUUACAACUAUUCCGAAUUUAUUUGUUUUGUAUUUUGAGGGAUACAUUGAAAUUAAAUCAGAUAAAAUGGAUAAGUUAAAUUGUUCGUAUUUUUUAUAAGGGAAAAGUUUAUAUAGAGCUGAGGCUCUAAACAAUCAAAUUAGAUUCUACCUCAAAAAAUUUACUACAAGAGGUUGUUUUGAUGUCCAAAUAUCUUCAAAUUGAUCAUCUCGACAUCAAGAUGCAAGGACAUGAGAAAAAAAUGGAUUUUAAAUUUUGGAAAUAAUGUAUUUCGGAGUGCAUUUUGGGACUAUCAAUUUUCAAGAUUUUCAAGUUUUCAUAUAUCUCUCAAUGUACACUAUUUUUUAAGCUUUAAACUUUAUAAACAAAAAUAGAAAUAUAUUUUAAGGCUAUAAAAAAGAUUUCCAAUAUUGAAACUACAUUUCAC
rnacentral:lncRNA from 1 species